UAAAUUUAAUUACAUAUCCUAUCAAAUAUUAAAAAAAAAUUGGAUUAAUAAAAUUGAUUUAUAUGUUCACACCAAUUUAAUUAUAUAUUUAAUAGUUACUGACUUUUAAUUAUUCAAUAUAUAUUUAUUAUUUCAUAAUAUGUAAAAAUAUUUAAUACAUAAAAUAAUUUUUAUAUAUAAUGUUCAUUCCGCGCAAGGCGCGGAUCUUAACCUAGUUAUAGUUAUUGGCAAAUCAUAAAAGAAAAUACACUCAUACUAACAAUGUAUAGUAUGUGUCAUGUGUGGGUUCACUUUCUAGAAGUAAAUCUAUUUACAGAAUAACUUCUUCACUCAAAUUGGAAGUGGUUCGCAUAUCAAAAGUUUAAAUAUUUUGGCAUCGUGUCAAAAUGAUCGAAAAUAUAGCCCUUUUUAGCAACCACCGAUGUUUUGUUUUAGCCAUCAAUUUUUUCCUCGGCUAUAUAUAUUCUUAUGAUUGUGAAAUUAAAGUUCUAAUAAAAUCAUGUAAAUAAAAAAAAAUGUUGUUUAAAAAUUGAUUAAUCUAUAUGUGAAUUUAGUAGAUCAAAACUAUCAUGUACACUGUCGUGUAACAACUUUAAACAAAAUACAUUUGUAUAUGCUUCUUAAUCAUAUUUGUCUUCUUUUUAUGUCAACUAAAUAAUCAUAUUUGUCUAUCUCUCAGUUACGGCCUAAAAGUAGUUUUCUAUAUAUUUAAAAGUUUCCAUCUCCUUAGAUUACCAUCGAUUUCACGAACACUGAAUUCGAUGCACCUAGUCCAAUCAAAACGUUCAUAAGACCCCGAAAAGAAAGUUGUAACAUGACACAAGUUGAUGGAAAAACAAAAACUAAUAGGAAUAUAUUCUUAGGAAAGGAAAGGAUAGUCGACAAUACUAAUAUAACUGAUUAUUGAAUUCAAGCAUUAAUAGUAUUUCUUAUUCUUACGUAUAAUAAUAAUGAAAAUGUCGACAGUAACACCAAGUUUUUAAAAAUGAACCCGAUAACGUAGUAGGGCACACAUUGUCCUAUGACAUAUCAAAGAAUGAAUCCUUUUAGAUGGUUUUAUAUAUUCUUUUAUUUCUUUCAUCGGGUCCACUGGGUCAAAUAUAAAACCCCCACUCUGUUGUGGUGGCACUCGAGUCGAAUUCUAGUGCAGCAGAGUUGACAGCAACCAUUUGCUCAAAGCCUCUUGGCAUACAAGAAACGGUUUAAGCAGAUAUUCAAGAUAGAUAGACCUGGACACAUUUACCCAAAAUCGAGAAACCAAACCAUAUUAAACCGGAAAAUGAAAACCAAACGGAAUUUCAUAAGUAUCUAAAUCGAUGAUAUAUCUUUUAGAGUCCAAAGAUGAAUUGACUGAACCGAACCCAAAAAAAAAACAAAAUGUCCACGCUAUCUUAAGACACUGUGGCUCUUACCAUUUAGCCUCUUAGGUAUAACUUAAUAUUUAGAUUUCUAAUCUCAUAAACAACGAGUUUAUAAUUGCGAAACAAAAGUGGACAAGUUGACCGUUUAUCACAAUCGAAUAUCCAUUUAACUACAGCUUAACUGGCGAUGGCUGAGAACGAACACAAAACGAAUACAGGCUCUAACGAACGAUUUAAGUAACCAGUCAAGAUAAAGGAACUGCUACAACCAUAAAUGAUAAUUAAACAAACAUCAACGCCCAUAGUUUAAAAAAUAUAUGCCACCAAUCCCAAUCGGAGAACAUAAAACACCCCUCCAAAGGGUUAAUCUGUUCUGUAUGAAAAGAAAAAAAGAAAUGGUCUUACUCUUAUGUUUUGGUCUAUGGGAUGAUAAAACAGAAAAAAAAAAUGAUGAUGAAAUGCAAAACUGGAGAUGGCAGAGAUUGAUAUCUCUGAGACAUGAUUGAGAGUCGACCAGACUCACCUAAGAUAAGCCUCUCUACUUCCUUUUUGGAUAAAAAGGCUUACAAACA